UAGUCGUAGCAAGGUUUCCGUAGAUGAUCCUGCGGAAGGAUCAUUAACGAGAGUGGGGGGUGUUGUGUUGUAGUAGUAGUUUGUUUGGUAGGGUGAUGGGUUUAAUCACCCAACUCCACCAAUCUCUAUCCUAUAACGCUCGCCUCAACAAACUCAAGGCAUUUGCCUUGUUUUCACGCUUGUCUUUGUUUGUCAAACAUAUCAGUGCUUUUAUGAUAACUUUUAACAAUGGAUCUCUUGGCUCUUGCAACGAUGAAGAACGCAGUAAAGUGCGAAAUGUAAUGCGAUUUGCAUGAAUCUGUGAGUCAUUUAAUCUUUGAACGCAACUUGCACCCAUUGCUGGGUAUGUUUGUUUGAGACGGCAAAACCGUGGACACUAACCGGUUUGGCCAUGACUUGUGUCUUGGCUCAGAAGCAGCAAGCUGAUAACGGGGUAGGAGGGUCUGCUAGAGUUAGAGACUCAAGUCUUUUCCUUGCAGAGUCACCAUCCUAACUAUACUAUACCCGUCUCAAAUCAAGCAAGAUUACCCGCUGAACUUAAGCAUAUCAGUAAGCGGAGGAAAAGAAACUWACAAGGAUUCCUCAGUAACGGCGAGUGAAGCGGGAAUAGCUCAAUCUUGAAAUCUCGGUGCACAUAAGCGCUGCGAAUUGUAGUCUAAAAGAAGUGUGGUAUUGGUGAMUGGGUUGAUCAAGUCCUUUGGAACAGGGCACCAUAGAGGGUGACAGUCCCGUGGAUCAAUCUCUAGUCUUAUUGCGCACUCUCUAAGAGUCGAGUUGUUUGGGAAUGCAGCUCAAAGCGGGUGGUAAAUCUCAUCCAAGGCUCAAUAUUGGCAAGAGACCGAUAGCGAACAAGUACCGUGAGGGAAUGAUGAAAAGCACCUUGAAAAGGGAGUUAAAAAGUACGUGAAAUUGUUAAAAGGGAAACGAUAGAGACCAGAGCAGGGCGGAGGUUUGGGUUAAGGUGUGUUGUGCACUAUAUGUGUGUUAUGCACUAUGUGUGUGUUGUGCAUCAUGACUUGCAACCGCUUGUCCGAGUCAUUACAUGUUAUGAUUGUUCAAUAGAUCAUUGGGGAAGGUGGAGUAAUUGUUACUCUUUAUAGACCCAGUUGAUUAGGAUGAUUGUGACAUGGUACGUGAAGAGGAGGUUUUGGUUAUGGUGUUCAAACCGUAUAACCAAAAACCAACUCAUCACCCAUUGACGAAAUGGUCUUUAGCGACC
rnacentral:rRNA from 1 species